rnacentral:lncRNA from 15 species
CAGCAGCAGAAGAAGAGUUUACAUUUAUUCACGCAGCAGAAGAAGAAGAGUUUACAUUUAUUCACGCAGCAGAAGAAGAAGAAGAGUUUACAUUUAUUCACGCAGCAGCAGAAGAAGAGUUUACAUUUAUUCACGCAGCAGAAUAACAAUCACUUUAAACCACUGAAUGCUUCAGAAAAUAAAAAAACAUUCAAAUGUAUUCGAUUAAAGCUUCAUUGUCAAUAA